AAAGAAAUGGUAUUUAUAUAAAUAAAUACAUAUAAUUAUUUGAUCAUAAUCAGAGGUUAACAUGGGUUACCUUUUGGGGAGAGGAAACAGCAGAGGUGAUAUGGUUGGCAGACAAAGAGGGUAUGGAGAAGCAAUCUCCCACUGUAUUAGUCUGUUUUCACAUUGCUGGGCAAUUUGCAAAAGAAAGAGGUUUAUUGGACUUACAGUUCCACAUGGCUGGAGAGGCCUCACCAAGACCCUA
rnacentral:lncRNA from 1 species